rnacentral:lncRNA from 1 species
GCCUAUUGCGUCAUUCCGGAUCGGCAAAACCUCGAGUUCUGCGUAGUUUCCACGGUUUUCCGAUUCUCCUUCGGUGGUGGUAGUGGGGGUGGUGUUUCUUUUAGCUUUCGAGAGAGAGAAAGUGUAGAGAGAGAGAAAGAGAGAGAGAGAGAGAGAGAGAGAGAGGGAGGGAGGGGAUUUUAGGGCCAGCGGUUUUGUGGGUGGUGGGGAAUUGGCGUCCAGCGAGGGACUCAAUAUAUAGUUUCUCCACCUGGCUGUACGUUAUCCCGCCU